CUCUCAGACAUUACGGUC
rnacentral:snRNA from 1 species